CGCUCACAUCACACUGAAACACCACUUCCCGUACGAUCACCAAAGUCAAGCAACGUCGAGCCUGCUCAGUAUCUACAUGGGUGACCGCUUCGGAAUAACAGGUGCUGUAAU